rnacentral:rRNA from 1 species
UACCAGCACCCCGAGUGGUCGGGACGUUUAUUGGGCCUAAAGCAUCCGUAGCCGGUUCUACAAGUCUUCCGUUAAAUCCAACUGCUUAACAGGUGGGCUGCGGAAGAUACUAUAGAGCUAGGAGGCGGGAGAGGCAAGCGGUACUCGAUGGGUAGGGGUAAAAUGCGUAGAGAUGUGGAGGAACACCAGUGGCGAAGGCGACUUUCUGGUCUGUAACUGACGCUGAGGCGCGAAAGCGUGGGGAGCAAACAGG